AUACAAUAACACGCGAGACCGUAUUAGUCGCAGGUUAAGUCUACUGAUAAUUGUUGAGUCUGCUACUUGAGCAAAUUAAGGAGUUGAAUUAAAAUUAAUCAACAAUAUUAACAUAUUUUGACAGUUAAGAGCUUUGAAACAGUAAAAAAUGUUGGUUCUCCGGGCGUUGACAAAACGUCAAUUAUCUAAUGUCAAAAAUGCAGCGGCAUGUUAUCAAGCUCGUACAUUAACAGCUCAGACUAAUGCUAAAACUGCAGAGCCGAAAAGUGAUUUAACUAAAGAUUUCCAGACCUCGAAACUACCGGCUGCGUUGCCCAAGAAACCCAAACGCGAACCGUUUGCCAAAAACCUUUUUAUUGGUGAAUUCGACUACAAUUUUCUUACCUAUCCAGAGCCCCAACAUGUUGACAGAUACAAUGAGUUCGAAGAAUUGUUCAGUCCAAUAAAAGCUUACUUGGAAUCAUUGAAUCCUGAAGAAUUUGAAGAUGGUAUUCCAGAUCAUGUGCUACAAAAGUUACGUGAAUUUAAGAUAUUUGGUGCUAGGAUAUCUGAAGAUUAUCAAGGUAUGAAUUUAAUAGAUUCAGAAUACAUUAAGGUUCUGGAAGCAGCAGGAAAAGUACCAGCACUAGGUAUUUUUCUUCUUAAGCAGGGCGUACCUGCCAUCAACUUGUUCAACAAGUAUGGAACUGUUGAACAGAAAUUCAAAUAUUUACCAAAAAUAGCAACUGGUCAAGUCAUACCUACUAUAGCUGUUACUGAAAAAAAUAGUGGCCCAGCAGCUAAACAUUUUAUGACCACAGCAAGCUUAACUUUAGAUGAUAAGCAAUGGGUUUUAGAUGGUGAAAAAACAUUUGUUGCCAAUGGUCUAGUUGCAGAUGUUUUUAUUGUUUUUGCUCAUGCUUUCCAGGGUGGUACGAUGGAAAAGAGACCAGAAACAAUUUCAGCAUUUAUUGUUGAUAAAAAUACUAAGGGUGUUCAAGUUGUGCCAGACAGUGAGACAGUUGGUUUAAAAGGAUAUACCACAGGAAAGUUGAUAAUGAAGAAUGUUCAUAUACCAUCUGAAAACAUUCUUGGAGAGGUUGGUAAUGGUGCACAGCAGCUGGUAGAAAAUUUCUCUGAAAAUCGUCACUAUAUAGGGGCCAUUACGAUGGCCAUAUUAAAAGAUCUUCUAAAUAAAUUAACUCAAGAUAAUAUUCACCGAAAACAUUUCAAUUGUAUGUUUUAUGAAACCGAAUCAGCCCAAUAUGUAUUUACAAAAUUAAUGGGAGCCAUUUAUGCUAUGGAAAGUGUCUUAUAUUUAACAACUUCUUUGCAAGACAUAUAUGAAAAUCCAGAUGUUAUAUUAGAAAUGGCUAUAACAGAAAAGUUUUGUGUCCAGGAGUGUUUGAAUUUGCUACAAGAAAGUUUAUGGUUGGCUGGUCCAAAAGCAACUUUAUUGAUACAUCCUUAUGAACGUAUUCUUAGAGAUGUUUAUUCAUUGACUUACUCUGAAAUAUCUCUGAUUGAUACCAAUAUAUAUUCAGGAUUAUUAGGUGUUCAGAAUUGUGGAAAAGCAUAUGCUGAAGGCAUCAAAAAAGCCCGUAACCCUUUACUGUUUCCUGUUGAUAUGAUAAAAAAACAUUUCUUUGAUACCAACCACUUAAAUUUACAUCUGGAAGAAUAUCUGCAUCCUUCUUUACAAGAAUGUGCUGAUUUUUGUGACAGAUGCAUAUUAAAACUUCAAGAAUGUACACAAGAAAUAUUAAUACGAUAUGGCACUGAAGUUGGCAAAAAGCACAUGGAUAUGCAACGACUUAGUGAUAUGGUAUCCCAGAUUUACGCGUAUGUAGCGGUUGUUGGAAGAGCUUCGAGAUCGUAUUGCAUUGGUAAUAGAAACAGUGAUGCAGAAAUCAAACUGUGCGUGGUGCUGGCUUAUAGAAUGCAGCAAAGAGUAUUUCAACUCGCCGAAGAUAUUAUGAACAGCGAAUUCUCUAAUGGUGACCAUCUUAGCAAAGAAUUAAGCAAGAUUCAUUUUGAACAAAAAAAAUAUAUUUUCGAAAAUCCUUUGCAAAGAAAUUAUUAAUUCAGUAUGAAAAUAAAUUUCGUAACUGCAUUUGACUCAAAAGCGAAUUGUAGACUGGACUCUGCGGACAAUUUGCAAUGGAAUGAAUUAAAUCGCCUGAACAAUCAUAUGUU
rnacentral:misc_RNA from 1 species